rnacentral:rRNA from 1 species
AUUGAACGCUGGCGGAAUGCUUUACACAUGCAAGUCGAGCGGCAGCGCGGGGCAACCUGGCGGCGAGCGGCGAACGGGUGAGUAAUACAUCGGAACGUGCCCAGACGUGGGGGAUAGCCCGGCGAAAGCCGGAUUAAUACCGCAUGAGAUCUGAGGAUGAAAGCAGGGGACCUUCGGGCCUUGCGCGUUUGGAGCGGCCGAUGGCAGAUUAGGUAGUUGGUGAGGUAAAGGCUUACCAAGCCUGCGAUCUGUAGCUGGUCUGAGAGGAUGAUCAGCCACACUGGGACUGAGACACGGCCCAGACUCCUACGGGAGGCAGCAGUGGGGAAUUUUGGACAAUGGGCGCAAGCCUGAUCCAGCCAUUCCGCGUGCAGGAUGAAGGCCCUCGGGUUGUAAACUGCUUUUGUACAGAACGAAAAAGGCCUGGCUAAUAUCUGGGUCUUCAUGACGGUACUGUAAGAAUAAGCACCGCUAA